GUCUCUUUGUAGCUUUUAUUAGAAUAAUAUAAAGAGUCGGACCUGCCCGGUGACUAUAUUGUUAAACGGCCGCGGUACCCUAACCGUGCAAAGGUAGCAUAAUCAUUUGCCUUUUAAUUGAAGGCUAGUAUGAAUGGUUUGACGAAAGCUAAGCUGUCUCUUUUGAAAUAUUUAAAAAUUAACUUUUAGGUGAAGAGGCCUAAAUUUAUUUAAGGGACAAGAAGACCCUGUUGAGCUUUAGUAAAAUUAUAAAUGUGUAUUGUUUAUAUUAAUUUAUUACGUAUUUAUGUACAGUUUUAUUUUAUAAUUAAUCUUUAGUUGGGGCGACUGAGGAACAUAAAAAGCUUCCUUUAGACAUAAAUAAAUUUAGUUAUAGUUAGAAUUAUUAUAAUGCUAUCGUGUUAUUUUGAUCCAAAUUAUUUUGAUUAAAGGAAAAAGUUACCACAGGGAUAACAGCGUAAUCUUUCUGGAGAGAUCUUAUCGAAAGAAGGGUUUGCGACCUCGAUGUUGGACUAAGAUAUCCCAAGGGUGUAGAAGUUCUUGAAGGUUGGUCUGUUCGACCAUUAAAAUCUU
rnacentral:rRNA from 1 species